rnacentral:rRNA from 1 species
AACGAACGCUGGCGGCAUGCCUAACACAUGCCAGUCGAACGAGACCUUCGGGUCUAGUGGCGCACGGGUGCGUAACGCGUGGGAACCUGCCCUUAGGUUCGGAAUAACUCCCCGAAAGGGGUGCUAAUACCGGAUAAUGUCUUCGGACCAAAGAUUUAUCGCCUUUGGAUGGGCCCGCGUUGGAUUAGCUAGUUGGUAGGGUAAAAGCCUACCAAGGCGACGAUCCAUAGCUGGUCUGAGAGGAUGAUCAGCCACACUGGGACUGAGACACGGCCCAGACUCCUACGGGAGGCAGCAGUGGGGAAUAUUGGACAAUGGGCGAAAGCCUGAUCCAGCAAUGCCGCGGGAGUGAUGAAGGCCUUAGGGUUGUAAAGCUCUUUUACCCGGGAUGAUAAGGACAGUACCGGGAGAAUAAGCUCCGGCUAACUCCGU